rnacentral:rRNA from 1 species
AUGACUCCCACCAAUAUGAGAAGUAACUUCUACCAUUUCCAGAACCAGCCAGUAAUUAUUGACUUGUUGUUUCCGACUUCGGUUCAAAUUUGGAAUUUUUUCUGGACUUUUCUUUUCUGUUCCAAGCAGUCCGGGAAGUGCAAUUUCUGGAAGUGGGAGGAUGAGUACAUUGAGUUCCUGCGCCAGAAAUGGACUCGCAUUUUCGCACCCAACUCUAAGAUCGUCCCAAUCAUGGAGCUACUCGCACAUAACCAAAAUGAUUUCAAGAACAUCCUUGUGACGUGCCGGAUCUACAUCAUUGCCAUCGUCCUCGGCCUGGCUAACGAGAUCUAG